ensembl:lncRNA
ACAUCCAAGAUCAAAUGACACAUCCAAGAUCAAAUCAUCGCGCUAACUCUGAGCUCGCUAUUCCGGUUCCCCGAACACACCUGUUGUUGACGAUUAGUAUAGCUGGAUGAAGUAAUGUGAGAUCACUGGGUGGCCCAACAGGGGCUACGCAUCGAUAGUAGAAACAUUGAUCGGCAACCCUUUGAUUGGUCGGCGAAAAUGUCGAAGGAGCGCGCUCAGCUCGGGCUGGCAGAAAGUUGCUGACAAAUUAAACUCGUAAGUAAUUUAAUAAUAACAAUAAUAAUGGAGUGGAUCUAUAUAGCGCUCUUCAAGGCACCCAAAGCGUUUUACAAUGCCACUAUUCAGUCACUCUCACAUUCACACACUGGUAGCUGUCACAGCUGCCCUGGGGCAGACUGACAGAAGCCAGGCUGCCAUAUCGCGCCAUCGGCCCCUCUGGCCAACACCAGUAGGCGGUAGGGUAGAUUUAUCAUAUCACACUAUAUUAUCCAAUAUUAUAUUACAUUAUAUUAUAUUACAUUAUGUUAUAUUAUAUCCCCUUUCACAUUAGAGCCACAACAGGACCCACUAGAACAUGGGAACAAGUAAAAGUGAAAUAUAAGAAUAUUCUACAGAAUGGUAAUAUUGAUCACUUAUAUUGCUUUUCGUCUCUUGGACAGAGACCCUGAAAUAAUCUGUUUGUUUGUUUAUAACAGCAACCAAGAAAAGGGGCAGCGCAAAAAAAGACAGGUGGUGGUCCUGCACCCCCUCGUCAACAAGUUGGUUAAGUAAAUAAUACCCUCACGGGAAAAUCGAUAUCUCUCUAUGAGCACACUGUCGCGCUGAGCUAAAGGAUCCUGUCUAUCCCGCAAUAUACGCUGGAUUCUGAGGACUCUCCUUAUCAAUCUUGCACCUUCCGCAAUGGGUGGCUCGCGUAUACGGACAGGACAUGGCUGCGACAGGCUUCCCAAAUCCACCUUCGCUUUUAUAGCCGUGGUCUCCCAUCUUGAUUACACGAAGUAAAUUGCAAUUACUACUCUGAAAUCUGAAUUACAUCUGUAAUAAUCACAUACAUGUAAUAGAAUGUUAAUAGUACAUUUCCCUUUUUUAGGAAAUGACCUGUAUGUAUCUGUGUGAC